rnacentral:rRNA from 1 species
UAAAGGCUCACCAAGGCGACGAUCCCUAGCUGGUCUGAGAGGAUGAUCAGCCACACUGGAACUGAGACACGGUCCAGACUCCUACGGGAGGCAGCAGUGGGGAAUAUUGCACAAUGGGGGAAACCCUGAUGCAGCCAUGCCGCGUGUAUGAAGAAGGCCUUCGGGUUGUAAAGUACUUUCAGCAGUGAGGAAGGUGGUAGUGUUAAUAGCNCUAUCAUUUGACGUUAGCUGCAGAAGAAGCACCGGCUAACUCCGUGCCAGCAGCCGCGGUAAUACGGAGGGUGCGAGCGUUAAUCGGAAUUACUGGGCGUAAAGCGCAUGCAGGCGGUCUGUUAAGCAAGAUGUGAAAGCCCGGGGCUCAACCUCGGAACAGCAUUUUGAACUGGCAGACUAGAGUCUUGUAGAGGGGGGUAGAUUUUCAGGUGU